GGCACCUUCGUAAAACUUCUCAAGAUUUACAGUCUUGCUUUCCACAUUUCUUAAACCCUUCCGAUUGAAAUUGGAAUUCCUCUUCCGCCACUCUCACUUUAUUCUCCGACUCUCAGCUCUUCGGCUGCCAUGGGAGACAGAGAGAGAGCUCGCGACCGUGACCGAGACAGAGACAGAGAAAGAGACAGAGAAAGACGCAGAGACAAAGAAGAUCGCGAACGCGAACGCGAACGCGACCGUGACCGAGACAGAGACAGAGACAGAGAACGCACCCGCAGCACCCGCUCACGCACCCGUUCACCUGACCGGACCCGUAGCACCCGCUCGCGCACCCGUUCACCUGACCGCACCCGCUCACGACACGCACGCUCUCCUGAACGCCAUCGUUCUCGCUCACGCUCCCCGGAGUCUCGUUCUCACCGCCGCCAUCGCAACCAGCGCACUCCUUCCCCAUCGCCACCCCGAAAACGUCACCGUCAUGACACCGAGGAUGGCAGAGAUAAGGAAAAGGAAAGAGAGAGAGAAAGGGAUAGGCAGAGGGCAGCUGUGUCAGAUUUCUUGGACGGGAUCGCGAGGGAGCAGUUGGAGAAGAUUGGGAAUAACAAUAACAGCGCUGGAGGAGGAGAUAGAGAAGCAGAGGUAGAAGGAUCUUUAGUGGAUGAGGAUGAGAUUGAGAUGAUGAAGAAGUUAGGGAUUCCAGCUGGCUUUGAUUCCACGAAGGGCAAGCCGGUGCCUGGUGCGGACGUCAGUGGAGUGAGAGUGGUUACGAAGCGGCAGCCCAGGCAAUAUAUGAACCGAAGGGGAGGAUUUAAUCGGCCAUUGCCUCCAGAACGGAAUCGCUAGCUUUUUUUGAAGUCAGGCAAGGCUGCAGCUUCUUAUUUUGCCCUGUGUUAGAGGAAUGGAGGGUUUCAAUCAACCACUAUGUUUGACUCUUCCCUAGAGGUUGGUCUCAUUCUGGGUGAACAAAGUAAGGGGGAUCAGCCUGGCUUAAAUCAUUAUGCUCGACUUUCAAGUUUUUACAAGAGGCGCAUGAGAAGGCUAUCUGGGAUCCUCUUAUCUUGCCCCACAUAUGUGAGAUAAUUUCACAUACAGUGUACUCUAAAAGCUAUGAUCAGUAAAUAUCCUUCUAAUUUGGAUUUUAGGCAGAAGCAGUUUCAGAUUUUCCCUAGCAUUAGUGAUUUCCAAGUGGGACAUAGAAAAAUGGUUGAUUUUUCCCAAUACAUUAAAAAUUAUAGAUCCAAAGGUUUGUUAAUUCAAUAUUUUGAAAGUUGCUUUUCUGAUUAAUUUUAUUGCUUUUUUAGUGAUUGCCCUUUUUGAUCUUAUUCUUAUUAUAAGAGAAUUGAUUCCACUCUCACUUUCUCAAGAUUAGAGAUUGGCUUGGUGCUUAGUGAUUGACCUUUUUCUUCUUGUUACUAUUAAAUGAAUAUUUUGAUAGCUAUUUUUCUAAUCAAUGCUAUUGCUUUUUGAUGAUGGGCUUCUUGAUCUUAUGCUUAUUCUAAGAGAACUGAUUCGAAUUUUUACUUUUAUGAAAUUGGAGAUUGGCUUGGUGUACAAUGAUUGGCCUUUUUCUUCUUAUUAUUCGGUACUUGCAUACUUCCUUUUCCCAUGCUUUCCCUUGUUCAUCAGCCAACCACAACUCUAGUCUUGUUUUUCACUGUUCUUACAAGUAUCUAUUUGUUCUUCACUACUUAAACUUGAUAGAGUUGAUUUUUUGUUUGGGAGGAAUCAUUUUUUUCUUGAUCAUACCUUAAUUGUAUAAAUAUACUUGUUUUACACAAUUCAUUUGGUCAUUUUUUUUCCCUUCUACUUCCUUUAUUCCUACAUGCAAUGAUGUCAAUGGAGUCCUUGGGAUCAACAAAUUAUAAAACUAAUGCAACAAACAAUUAUUUGGUAGAUGUCAUGAGAAAAUGUUUUAGUACUUGUGUAUCCAAUAGGUAUUUUGUUCUAAGUGUCCCAAUGGUGUAAGGUGGUCAACUUACUAGGGAAAUGAGGAAAAUCACUUUGAUCUCUUGUUCUAGAGAAAUAAGUCUCUUGUGAGGAAUGGGGGGAAAAAAAUCUUCUAAUCUUGGAUGGGGGAUCUAGAUCAUUUGUGGGGAUGACAUCAUGUUAAUCCAUGUUCGACACCAUGGAGGUUGUUAAGGUCCCAAAUCACAGAUUGCAUCACGAGACGCUGGACAGGGAAUGAGCUUGUUGGAGGGAAUUGUUAACGCUUAAAACUCAUUAAUGGGAGAGUGUCGGAUCACAAAUAUUUUUGUAAGCAUUCUACAUGUUCUAUUGAAUAAAGAGAAACCCCUUAUAUAAUGGAGGUUCAUACGAUUAGUUGAUUGUAGUACUCUUAAUUGAACUAGAAGUCAAUAUGAUUGUUGUUGAUAAAAUUGAAUAUGCUAUAAUUGAUUGACUUCUUCAAUAUUUAGACUCUGUUGAAUAAUAGGUUUGGUUUAUCCGACAUCUAUAUUUCACUCUCUUAGAGAAGGAGAUUGUCUUUAAGUCAAAUUCUAGAUAAGCUUCGUUACAGUGGUACAUGGGGUUCCUUUUUGCGGCAUCAUCUUCUACCAUGGGCAUUCGAUCCAUCUACUUCUCUUCUAAUCAAAACAAUUUCUUGUAUUGAUGAUCAACAAAAUCAAGUUUAUAGCAAUCAUAAUAAAGACCUUUGGCCCUUUUUUCCACCAUUUCAGAUUUGGUGAGCUUUUUAAUGAAUGGAGAAGCAAUAAAUUUUGAUUUGAACUCAACAUAUUGUUGACAUUAGUGCUAGAUGAUCCCUUCAUAAUCUCAGGAAGAGCUAUUAUAGGUUGUGCAGUGAACCAGGAAGCUGUCUUCCAUAUAACUAUUUCUCUCCACUUGUUGCUUGCGUUCAAAUGCUUGUGCUAGAUUCUUGAUAGUCAUCUUUGUUCUUGCUCGUGCGUCAAUUUUGUCAUUAAUUCAAAUGCCUCUAUUUGGAAUAUUACUGUUGCUAUUUAUAGUUGCUAUUUAUACUUGUGUUUGAGUUUUUGUUGCAAUUGUUGCUAGGAUUACAAAAAAAGAAAAAAUUGUCAGGUUUUGCGUUGAUUCUUUAUCUAAGACUCCAAUUGAGAGAUCCUAGCUUUCAUCCUUGCUUCUACUUGAACCAAUCUAGUCUCAUAUUGUGUCUGAGCUUGGCAAAGUUAGGACGUUAUUUCCUCACUUGAGUUUCUAGAAUUCCCGUGAUGAUUGUUCCUAAUCAUGGAUAGUAUCAUAGGACGACGGACAGGGAAAGAGUUUGUUGGAGGGAGCUUUUAACACCUCAGAUUCGUUAAUGAUGGAGUCUUAAAUAUCAAAUGUUGUUGAAAUUAAUUUGCCUUAUAUAAUGGUGGUUCAUAAAAUCAUAAUGCUUAUAAUUAAAGUGAAAGUCUAAUACAAGCAUUUGUUCAAUAAGAAACUACUAAUACAAGUAAUUAUUUAAUAAUAAGCUAAUGAGAUGCGAUAAUAGAAAUUGGAUAAGAAAUUACUAAACUGUGUUGUUAAACUCGUACGAUUCGUAUUGAAUUAGUAGCUUACCAAUACGAAUCGAUGGGUGAAUUACAGCGAGCCAAGAAUCAUAUAAAUUGAAGGUGAAUCAUGGGAAUUGUUACAAAUCAACGGACUGUAAGUUUGGAAGGGAAAUUUUCCAAAAUGACUCAGAUAAUUUUAAUUAUUCACUUAAUAAAAAGAAUGUGAUGUUGAAAGGUUAAUUGUCUCUCUCUUUUGAGUUUUAAAGAUCACGAUGUUAACUUAAAAAUAUAACAGAAGGGAUUGCUAGCAGAUUUUUUAAAACCUUACAAAUGUUUUAAUAUAUUUUUUAAAAUUGAUAUGCCACCUAUGAUUCCAUAAAAAAAGUGUCCUUCCUGUAGGAAUAAUAGAGGAAUAUAGUUUUCUUUUGUUGCUUUGCUUGUUGACCGGUGGAAAGCAUGGCAAGGGGAGAGCUCAAGAAAGUCUUUCUUUACUACUUCAGUUCCUUCUGGGCUUGCAUCUUAGUGGUACUUGCUAGACAACAUAUGACAUUGUCUCUUCUGCUAAGUGGAUAUUGUUUCAAAUUGGAGGAUAUGCCUGCUUUCUAUCUUUCACCGUAAGAAAUUCCUGGCUUACUUGCCCAAGUCUACACCCUUCCUUCUCAAGGCUCAGUGCAUCCUAUUCAAACUUUCUUUCUGAUGACAAGUUCUUAGCAAAAGGAAUUUUUUUGUCUGUCUGGGGGACCUUUCUUUGCUGUUACUUCUCCAUCUCUUGCCUUGCUUUUUUGCUCGACCACUGUAUAACAAGAAAAUAUAUCAACGGAAAACAAAAUAAUAUUUGAAUGCAGAAUUAGAGAUAAUAGAAGUCCAUAUGUUGGUGUAAAUAACAUGUAAAGGAGAUAAUGCUUGGGCGAAAAAAACUUGAGAAGGGAGUUCAUGAUGCUUUCCUGGUUAACAAUGGGAAAAAAAUUAGAAAGACUUGAAGAUAAGACAGAGAGGUAUUUGGACUGCAGAGGGGAGCGCAAAACUGGGACUCCAGAGUGGGCUAGUUGACGAUCCCAAGUGGACAACAGAACGCGAUACACAAGCAAAAAAGUGAUGACCAGGCAGGGUGGAGGGAAAUGACACAAGAAGGGACUCCCAUUAUCUUCUGUAGCAUUGAUGCCAACUCAAAACUUAUACUCUCUGACGCUUUCCACUGUCCCCUUCUCCAUCUUUUUUGAGCAACCUUUGCUCCGUGACUGCUUAGGCUGGCUGUCUGGGAAGACUCUCCCCCACUCCUCCCUAACCUUCUAGCCUUGCCUGUCCUCUCCAAACCUUUCUUGUGAUGAAACCUCACCUCAUCCGGGUGUGUGCCUCCACGUUGCAUGACUAUGAGCUACAUCUAUUACCAAAAUGAUGUUUCUUCAACCAUGGAAUAAUUUUUUAAAGUCUUAUUGAUUGAGGUAAUGUAUCUUUAAGCAUAGGGUGACAUGGUGGUGACUUGAAUGGUUGAAUCACAACAAUAGAUCCAAAUGAAAGACCUUGUAAGCUUUAUGUCUUUCUGCAUACCUUGAGAUAAGGUCUUUGUAUUAAUGUCGUCUUCAAAUUUUAUUUUUCAAGAAGUAAUCGGAGUGCUUGCAUUUAGAUGAUAUGGCAUUUCGUUUAGAUGACAUCAAUCAGAUGUACCCUAUGACUGCAAUAUGAGAUGGUUCCAACAAUUGAAUCUCAGGCGUUAAUUUAUCCAA